rnacentral:lncRNA from 10 species
CUUUCUCCUGAUAACUUCCGAUCACUUCUGUUCAUGUCUCCCACAGCAAAUUGUCCUAAGGAAUUAACACACUUUCCCUUCUCCUUGUAAAAUACCAUUUGAAAACAGGGAUCUGGAGGAUCUCCAUGUUUGAUCCAUCUUCAACCGUGCUCUGAAGAAAUAUCGCACGUGGGUGAUUCUUGUUUUCAGACUAUAAAAAUAAACUGGUUUAGGAGUUAAGCAAUGUUAUAAAAGAGGGUGAUUACCUAGCACUUUGGGAGGCCGAGGUGGGCGGAUCACUUGAGGUUAGCAGUUCGAGACCAGCCUGGCCAACAUGGUGAAACUCCAUCUCCACGAAAAAUACAAAAAUUAGCCAGGUGUGGUGGCACAUGCCUGUAAUCCCAGCUACUCAGGAGUCUGAGGCAGGAAAAUCGCUUGAGGCAGAGGUUGCAGUGAGCCGAGAUUGUACCACUGCACUCCAGCCUGUGCGACAGAGUGAGACUCUGUCUCAAAAACAAAAAACAAAAAAACAGAAACAAAAACAAAAAAAGAGGACGAUGAGGCCCUGGAAUGUGUGACAAAUGCAUGUGAGUACCCCUUCGGUAAACACUUGAAGCUAUUAUUCUCUUGAGUUGAUCUUCAGUGUUUCCUUGUUCUGGCAAAGGAUAGAUUUGCAGCUUGCUUGAUGAUGAUACUG